rnacentral:rRNA from 1 species
GAUCAAGCUACGAAGGGCUCACGGAGGAUGCCUUGGUAUAUGGCGCCGAAGAAGGACGUGGCAAGCUGCGAAAAGCUG